UAUAGAGAAUACCGUUUCCACGAAAACGGUCAAAUCCAAAGCGACUGUCUGAACAUCUCUUUUUGAAAAUGGGUAUAAUUCUGCUGGGUCAGUAGUUCAGUUGGUUAGAAUGCCGCUCUGAUACAGCGGAGGUCGAAGAUUCGAGUUCUUCCUGACCCACCACUUAAAUUGAUGAGGUUGGAAUCAAAAACAAAUACUUGUUUUUGAUUCCAGAUGUUCUGAUGAAUAUCUUCGGAAUCUGCUUUUAUUAGCAAUCAUUGUAAAUCGGUUUUUAAUGUCGUAAAUCAAACUUUAUGGAAACAUGACUUUUGAUUUAUUGAACAUCGUAAUCUCAAAAAUCUUUCUAAAUAGAGUAAUCACGAAAGUGAUAAUUCAAUUAGAGAAGCAAGAAUCAACUUAAAUGCUUAAAAAACUCAUUAAGUUCUUUUGAUUGUGUUUGAAGACUUUCUCUUCAAGCAUAAGAUAAAAAGUAACAAAGGGUGUUUAGUGGAUGCCUUGGCAAUCAGAGGCGAUGAAGGACGUGAAAGACUGCGAUAAGUCCGGGUGAGGCGUCAAUAUCCUUUGACCCCGGAAUUUC
rnacentral:misc_RNA from 1 species